GAUGAACGCUGGCGGCGUGCCUAAUACAUGCAAGUCGAGCGAACAGACGAGGAGCUUGCUCCUCUGACGUUAGCGGCGGACGGGUGAGUAACACGUGGAUAACCUACCUAUCAGACUGGGAUAACUUCGGGAAACCGGAGCUAAUACCGGAUAAUAUCUUGAACCGCAUGGUUCAAUAGUGAAAGACGGUCUUGCUGUCACUUAUAGAUGGAUCCGGGCGGCAUUAGCUAGUUGGUAAGGUAACGGCUUACCAAGGCUACGAUGCGUAGCCGACCUGAGAGGGUGAUCGGCCACACUGGAACUGAGACACGGUCCAGACUCCUACGGGAGGCAGCAGUAGGGAAUCUUCCGCAAUGGGCGAAAGCCUGACGGAGCAACGCCGCGUGAGUGAUGAAGGUCUUCGGAUCGUAAAACUCUGUUAUUAGGGAAGAACAGAUGUGUAAGUAACUGUGCACGUCUUGACGGUACCUAAUCAGAAAGCCACGGCUAACUACGUG
rnacentral:rRNA from 1 species